rnacentral:rRNA from 1 species
AGUGAACGCUGGCGGUAGGCCUAACACAUGCAAGUCGAACGGCAGCACAGUAAGAGCUUGCUCUUACGGGUGGCGAGUGGCGGACGGGUGAGGAAUACAUCGGAAUCUACUUUUUCGUGGGGGAUAACGUAGGGAAACUUACGCUAAUACCCCAUACGACCUACGGCUGAAAGCAGGGGAUCUUCGGACUUUGCGCGAUUGAAUGAGCCGAUGUCGGAUUAGCUAGUUGGCGGGGUAAAGGCCCACCAAGGCGACGAUCCGUAGCUGGUCUGAGAGGAUGAUCAGCCACACUGGAACUGAGACACGGUCCAGACUCCUACGGGAGGCAGCAGUGGGGAAUAUUGGACAAUGGGCGAAAGCCUGAUCCAGCCAUACCGCGUGGGUGAAGAAGGCCUUCGGGUUGUAAAGCCCUUUUGUUGGGAAAGAAAAGCAGCAGGUUAAUACCCCGCUGUUCUGACGGUACCCAAAGAAUAAGCACCGGCUAACUUCGUG